UACGUAGGGUGCAAGCGUUGUCCGGAAUUAUUGGGCGUAAAGAGCUCGUAGGCGGUUUGUUGCGUCGGCUGUGAAAACCCGCAGCUCAACUGUGGGCUUGCAGCUGAUACGGGCAGGCUCGAGUUCGGUAGGGGAGACUGGAAUUCCUGGUGUAGCGGUGAAAUGCGCAGAUAUCAGGAGGAACACCGGUGGCGAAGGCGGGUCUCUGGGCCGAUACUGACGCUGAGGAGCGAAAGCGUGGGGAGCGAACAGG
rnacentral:rRNA from 1 species